rnacentral:lncRNA from 1 species
CAAAUUACAAAUAAAAAAUAAAAUAAAAUAAAAUAAAUCUCUGCCAGUUUUGCUACACUCUUUUCAUUAUCAAAUUACAAAUAUAAUGUCUAAUUUUGUGAAAAUAAUAAUAUUUUUAAAAAAAAGAAAUUCAAAUGACCUGUUGGUGAAGUGAGAGAUUAGACAGAGUGGGAAGCCCCCAGUGAGUGGAGAAGAUGACAUUCAUGGCCAUGGGACUCCUACUUAAUAAUUCUAAACCUGCCUUCAUCAACCUUACAAUUGAUAAUGCCUUUAAACUCAACAUUAAUCUUAGCUUUAUGGAACGUGAUGAUGAUAACCGUAUUCCUCCGCUCAUUUUCUUCAGCCACCGCCUUCUCGGCCGCCGCCUUACUACCACCUUGUUCCCGUCAUUCUGCGGCUGCGGCGGCGGCGAUAGCAGCUUUUCGUAGCGACGGCAUUGCCUUGCGUGUCCCCGCAAAAUGCUUUCCAAAUGGAUUUGCCCCAUUGAAAUUAAUACACAAACAAAGAAAGAAAAAAGAAAUAACAAUGGAACUUGAAGUCUUCACUGAACUUCAA